rnacentral:rRNA from 1 species
UGGGGAAUAUUGGACAAUGGGCGCAAGCCUGAUCCAGCCAUGCCGCGUGAGUGAUGACGGCCUUAGGGUUGUAAAGCUCUUUCGUCCGGGACGAUAAUGACGGUACCGGAAGAAGAAGCCCCGGCUAACUUCGUGCCAGCAGCCGCGGUAAUACGAAGGGGGCUAGCGUUGUUCGGAAUCACUGGGCGUAAAGGGCGCGUAGGCGGCUUUAUAAGUCGGGGGUGAAAGCCUGUGGCUCAACCACAGAAUUGCCUUCGAUACUGGUUGGCUUGAGACCGGAAGAGGUAAGUGGAACUGCGAGUGUAGAGGUGAAAUUCGUAGAUAUUCGCAAGAACACCAGUGGCGAAGGCGGCUUACUGGUCCGGUUCUGACGCUGAGGCGCGAAAGCGUGGGGAGCAAACA